AACGAACGCUGGCGGCAUGCCUAACACAUGCAAGUCGAACGAGACCUUCGGGUCUAGUGGCGCACGGGUGCGUAACGCGUGGGAACCUGCCCUUAGGUUCGGAAUAACUCCCCGAAAGGGGUGCUAUUACCGGAUAAUGUCUUCGGACCAAAGAUUUAUCGCCUUUGGAUGGGCCCGCGUUGGAUUAGCUAGUUGGUAGGGUAAAAGCCUACCAAGGCGACGAUCCAUAGCUGGUCUGAGAGGAUGAUCAGCCACACUGGGACUGAGACACGGCCCAGACUCCUACGGGAGGCAGCAGUGGGGAAUAUUGGACAAUGGGCGAAAGCCUGAUCCAGCAAUGCCGCGUGAGUGAUGAAGGCCUUAGGGUUGUAAAGCUCUUUUACACGGGAUGAUAAUGACAGUACCGGGAGAAUAAGCUCCGGCUAACUCCGUG
rnacentral:rRNA from 1 species